GGGCGCCGCGCAGAAGCCGCUGCCUCCCGGGAGCCGGCCGUGCGCUUCGGCCCCGUGCCCGUCCCCAGCACGCCCGCGCGGCCGCCGGCUCCCGUAACUGGAUAAAAGAGGUCCGGAAGCCAUGUCGGAGUUUUGGUUAAUUUCUGCCCCCGGCGACAAGGAGAACUUACAAGCCCUGGAGAGGAUGAACACGGUCACCUCCAAGUCCAACCUGUCUUAUAACACCAAAUUCUCGAUUCCUGACUUCAAGGUGGGGACCUUGGAUUCCCUUGUUGGCCUCUCUGAUGAGCUGGGGAAACUCGAUACCUUUGCUGAAAGCCUCAUAAAGAGGAUGGCCCAGAGCGUGGUAGAAGUUAUGGAAGACUCCAAGGGGAAGGUUCCGGAGAACCUCCUGGCCAACGGAGUUGACUUGACAUCCUUCGUGACCCACUUUGAGUGGGACAUGGCCAAAUAUCCUGCGAAGCAGCCACUGGUGAGCGUCGUGGAUACUCUAGCAAAGCAACUGGCACAAAUCGAGACCGACCUGAAGUCCCGAACGGCCGCCUACAACACCCUGAAGACAAACCUGGAGAACCUGGAGAAGAAAUCCAUGGGAAACCUCUUCACUCGGACGCUGAGCGAUAUUGUGAGCAAAGAAGACUUCGUGUUGGAUUCCGAGUAUCUUGUCACACUUCUGGUCAUCGUGCCCAAACCAAGCUACGCGCAAUGGCAAAAAACCUACGAAUCCCUCUCGGACAUGGUGGUCCCUCGGUCUACUAAACUGAUCGCCGAGGACAACGAGGGCGGCCUCUUCACGGUGACCCUGUUUCGAAAAGUGAUCGACGAUUUCAAAACCAAAGCCAAAGAGAACAAGUUCACUGUCCGUGAAUUUUACUAUGAUGAGAAAGAGAUAAAGAGGGAAAGGGAAGAGCUGAGCCGUUUGCUGUCUGAUAAGAAGCAACAGUAUCAAACUUCCUGUGUUGCUCUUAAAAAGGGAUCAUCCACCUUCCCGGACCACAAGGUUCAGGUAACCCCGCUAGGGAACCCCGAUAGGCCCGCUGCGGGGCAGACGGACAGAGAGAGAGAGAGUGAGGGCGAGGGAGAGGUAAGCAGCACCCGGGAGCCCUGGGCUUCCCCCGCUCGCAUGUCCUCGCCAGUGCAGGCGUCUUCUGAGAAAACAAAGCCUUGCGUUUUCUGUUACCGAAGGUGGCUUUUGAGGGCUCAAAUCAAGGAGCCCAGCAUCAAACGCCUUUCCUCCUCAUCCGGGGGGCCUCCUUGGAGCUGCCCCCCGCCCCCGGCAGUGGAUGGUGCUUGCUGGCCAGGGUGCCCCCGCCCUGUCUGGAGGUGGCUGGAGCUGGUGACGGGGACAGGUGCUGGUGGUCGGGCGGCUCGGCUCUCCUCCCCUGGCUGCCCUGGCUGGACCCACCCCUGACCUUGGUGGGCACUUGGAGGUGCCUUUGCUCCAAGACUCGAGGCUCCCUCCCCCCGAGUAGCGGCCACAGCGGCAUUAGUGGCAGCUGUCGUGGCCGGGUGAGGCGGGCUCCUCGGAGGGCCCCCUGGAAGCGGCGGCUGGUGGAUGACGCCAGGACCCCGGGGCAGCGCCUCCCUGGGAGGCGGGCCCCUUCGCAGCACAGCGUCAGAGGGAAGCCUGCGGGCUGCCUGCUGACAGCCCUGAGGUCAGGGGCUGCCCAGCCCCUGCAGCCGGGUCUGCGGUGGCCCCGCGCAUGCGCCGGGCGGCUGGCCCGCGGCGCUUCCCCGGCCCCCACCCCGCCCCCCGGGGCGGCCCGGCCGACGCGGUCCCGGCCCUCGUCCAACCGCCUCGCUGCUUCCGCUGGCCGCCGGGCAUUUCUUCGCCGCUCGGGGCUUGCUCUGUCCAAACCCACGUCCUCCUCGGCCUCGCGUGGGCGGAGCGGCCAGCCGGCGUCACCGGCUCUCCUGUCUCUGCAGGGCCCGCUGCUGCGCUGGCUCAAGGUGAACUUCAGCGAAGCCUUCAUUGCCUGGAUCCACAUCAAGGCCCUGAGGGUGUUUGUGGAGUCCGUGCUCAGAUCGUAAUCCGGGAAAACAGAGGCUGAACUGACACGUUUGCUGGGGCACACAGACGGUACGGACUUCCAGUGAAUUUCCAGGCGGUGCUCCUCCAGCCUCACAAGAAGUCCUCCACCAAACGUUUAAGAGAGGUUCUGAACUCUGUCUUCAGACAUCUGGAUCAAGUAGCGGCUGCAAGCGUGUUGGAUG